GCCGGAGUGGCGGAAUUGGCAGACGCGCUGGAUUCAAAAUCCAGUGGGCUUUUCGCCCGUGUGGGUUCGAGUCCCACCUCCGGCA
rnacentral:tRNA from 1 species